rnacentral:rRNA from 1 species
AUUGAACGCUGGCGGCAGGCUUAACACAUGCAAGUCGAGCGAGCGGCGGACGGGUGAGUAAUGUCUGGGAAACUGGCUGAUGGAGGGGGAUAACGACUGGAAACGGUAGCUACUACCGCAUAACAUCAGAUUUGGCGUGAUGGGAUUAGCUAGUAGGUGGGGUAAUGGCUCACCUAGGCGACGAUCCCUAGCUGGUCUGAGAGUAUGCCCAGCCACACGGGAACGUAGACACGGUCCAGACUCCGACGGGAGGCAGCAGUGGGGAAUAUUGCACAAUGGGCGCAAGCCUGAUGCAGCCAUGCCGCGUGGGUGAAGAAGGCCUUCGGGUUGUAAAGCACUUUCAGCGAGGAGGCGUUACUCGCAGAAGAAGCACCGGCUAACUCCGUGCCAGCAGCCGCGGUAAUUC